GAUGAACGCUGGCGGCGUGCUUAACACAUGCAAGUCGAACGAAGCAUUUAAGACAGAUUACUUCGGUUUGAAGUCUUUUAUGACUGAGUGGCGGACGGGUGAGUAACGCGUGGGUAACCUGCCUCAUACAGGGGGGUAGCAGCUGGAAACGGCUGGUAAUACCGCAUAAGCGCACAGUACCACAUGGUACAGUGUGAAAAACUCCGGUGGUAUGAGAUGGACCCGCGUCUGAUUAGCUUGUUGGCGGGGUAACGGCCCACCAAGGCGUCGAUCAGUAGCCGACCUGAGAGGGUGACCGGCCACAUUGGGACUGAGACACGGCCCAGACUCCUACGGGAGGCAGCAGUGGGGAAUAUUGCACAAUGGAGGAAACUCUGAUGCAGCGACGCCGCGUGAGUGAAGAAGUAGUUCGCUAUGUAAAGCUCUAUCAGCAGGGAAGAUAGUGACGGUACCUGACUAAGAAGCUCCGGCUAAAUACGUG
rnacentral:rRNA from 1 species